UUUUUCUCUGGACUCUAAGCUGGUUGAUGCCACCAGGCCUUGGGAAAAAGCCUGCCUUCUGAUAGGAUUGCUAUUGAGUAGCAAAAAUUCUUGGAUUCUGAUAACAUCUUUCAUGCAGAAACUCAAAGCAUCUCCCAAAUUAUAAGCCCAUUCUUUUACACUGUUCUACACUCUCACACUCUAGGAACAACUCAUUUCAAUCUUGGGACAUUGACCAGAAUUCAGGGAAACUAGCAUGAUCCUUCCAGUCUGACGUUUCAUUCCAUCUACUGUCCAAAGCUGUGUCUACAAGGCAUCACCUAUGAGACAAUAAAACAAACCCUCUGAAAUCAGGAAAUUUGCCAGAAGAUGGCGAGCUGGGAAGAAAUAAAACCAGGAUUUGAGCCAGAGACUGGGUCACUCCGUGUUUCCUAGGAUGGAGUACAGUGGUUAUUUACAGGUGUGAUCAUUCAUAGCUCACUGUGGCCUUGAACUCCUCCUGGCCUCAAGCAAUCCUGCCUCAGCUUCCUGUGUAGCCAAUUUUCUAUAAAAAUAUUUAAUAGUUUGUGUUGUGUAUUUUCUUUCACGUUAUAUGAUGAGGCAUAGAGUGUAUGAUUGUUUCCCUACUUGUAAUGUUAAAUUUGAUCAGUGUGUUCUGGUAUUGUCAGCUUGAUUCAUUCUUUAUAUAAUUCCUCAGUAAGUUUUUUAUCUAAUGGUUUAGAAGCCAUUGAGGGUCAUUGCCCAAAUUCUUUAUUUCAUUAGGGAUUGCAAAAUGGUGACAUGUAAAUUCUAUUAUGCCUUCUG
rnacentral:lncRNA from 1 species